AGGGCACACAAAGGAUGCCUAGGUAGUAAGAGCCGAUGAAGGACGUGGUAAGCUGCGAUAAGCCUAGAUAAGUUGCAAUCGAACGUAAGAGUCUAGGAUUUCCGAAUGGAGCAAUCUAUUAAGAUGGAGUCUUAAUACGAAAGAGGGAACCGCGUGAACUGAAACAUCUAAGUAACGCGAGGAAAAGAAAGUAAAAACGAUACCCAAAGUAGCGGCGAGCGAACUGGGUCAAGCCUAAACCUUAAAUAUGUCAAGGAUACAGCCGUUGUAUUUAAGGGGUUGAGGGACAGAGUAGUGAAGAACUGUAAGAUAUUCAAUAUAGUGUAUUGAUGAAUUGGAAUUGUCUGGAAAGGCGAACCGUAGAAGGUGAAAGUCCUGUACAAGUAAAUCCUUACACAUAUAACUCUGCUCCCAAGUAACAUGGAACACGAGGAAUUCUGUGUGAAUCUGUGAGGACCAUAUCUCAUAAGGCUAAAUACUCUUACUAACCGAUAGCGCAUAGUACCGUGAGGGAAAGGUGAAAAGAACCCCUGGAGGGGAGUGAAAUAGAACCUGAAAUUGUGUGCUUACAAGCGGUCAGAGCCAGUAAUGGUGAUGGCGUGCCUUUUGGAGAAUGAUCCUGCGAGUUACGUUAAACGGCGAGGUUAAGUAUAACGGAGCCGAAGGGAAACCAAGUCUUAAUAGGGCGAUUUAGUCGUUUGGCGUAGACGCGAAACCUGGUGAUCUAAACCUGUCCAGGAUGAAGCUGUGGUAAGACACAGUGGAGGUCCUAACCCACCGCCGUUGAAAAGUUGGGGGAUGAGGUAGGUUUAGGGGUGAAAAGCCAAUCGAACCAGGAGAUAGCUCGUUCUCUCCGAAAUGUAUCUAGGUACAGCCUUGAGUGUUCAAUUAUGGGGGUAGAGCACUGAAUGAUCUAGGGGGCGUAUUGCUUACUGAAAUCAAUCAAACUCCGAAUACCAUAAUUUAUAGCUCAGGAGUGAGACUAUGGGAGUUAACUUCCAUUGUCGAAAGGGAAACAACCCAGACCACCAGCUAAGGUCCCUAAUUAUAACUAAGUGGGAAAGGAGGUGGAGAUUCACAAACAACUAGGAGGUUGGCUUAGAAGCAGCCAUACCUUUAAAGAGUGCGUAAUAGCUCACUAGUCGAGAGUCUCUGCGCCGACAAUGUAACGGGGCUAAGUUAUAAACCGAAGCUGUGGAAUCCGUAAGGAUUGGUAGGAGAGCGUUCUGUAGGCCGUUGAAGGAGAAGGGUAACCGACUCUGGAGGUAUCAGAAGUGAGAAUGCAGGAAUAAGUAGCGAGAAAGGGGGCGAGAAUCCCCCUCGCCGGAAGACCAAGGUUUUCAGGGUAAAGCUUGUCUUCCCUGAGUAAGCCGGGACCUAAGCCCAGGCUAUAAUGCGUAGGCGAAUGGAAAACAGAUUAAUAUUUCUGUGCCAGUCAUAUAUUGUGAUGGAGGGACGCAGAAGGGUAUGCGCGCGGACGAACGGAAGUGUCCGUAGAAGUAUGUAGGAUGACUCGAUAGGAAAAUCCAUUGAGUUAUAUCUGAGGUAUGAUAUACAGUCGUAAGAUGAAUGCGCAAAUCCCACGCUGCCAAGAAAAGCUUCUAACGUUAAUAUUUGACUGCCCGUACUGCAAACCGACACAGGUGGUCAGGAUGAGAAAUCUAAGGCGGACAGGCUAACUCUCGUUAAGGAACUCUGCAAAAUAACCUCGUAACUUCGGGAGAAGAGGAGCCCUUGAGGGUCAGUAUCCACGCGAUACAAAGCGCUCGAGGGUCGCAGUGAAGAGGCUCAAGCAACUGUUUAACAAAAACACAGGUCUAUGCUAAGCUGGAAGGCGAUGUAUAUGGGCUGACACCUGCCCAGUGCUGGAAGGUUAAGAGGAGGAGUGAGAGCUCCGAAUUGAAGCCCCAGUGAACGGCGGCCGUAACUAUAACGGUCCUAAGGUAGCGAAAUUCCUUGUCGGGUAAGUUCCGACCUGCACGAAUGGUGUAAUGAUUUGAGCGCUGUCUUGACGGGAGGCCUGGUGAAAUUGUAUUACCGGUGAAGAUACCGGUUACCUACAGUAGGACGGAAAGACCCCAUGGAGCUUUACUGUAGCUUGGUAUUGGGUUUUGGCAUUGCAUGUAUAGGAUAGUUGGGAGACUGAGAUGAUAUGGCGCUAGCUGUAUCGGAGUCAUCGGUGGAAUACCAACCAUUCAAUGCUGAAAUUCUAAUCUGUGGUUUGUAGCCACGGAGACAGUGCUAGGUGGGCAGUUUGACUGGGGCGGUCGCCUCCUAAAGA
rnacentral:rRNA from 1 species